GCUACCUGAUUCAGCGGCGGACGGGUGAGUAAUGCCUAGGAAUCUGCCCGAUAGUGGGGGACAACGUUUCGAAAGGAACGCUAAUACCGCAUACGUCCUACGGGAGAAAGUGGGGGAUCUUCGGACCUCACGCUAUCGGAUGAGCCUAGGUCGGAUUAGCUAGUUGGUGAGGUAAUGGCUCACCAAGGCGACGAUCCGUAACUGGUCUGAGAGGAUGAUCAGUCACACUGGAACUGAGACACGGUCCAGACUCCUACGGGAGGCAGCAGUGGGGAAUAUUGGACAAUGGGCGAAAGCCUGAUCCAGCCAUGCCGCGUGUGUGAAGAAGGUCUUCGGAUUGUAAAGCACUUUAAGUUGGGAGGAAGGGCAGUAAGCUAAUACCUUGCUGUUUUGACGUUACCAACAGAAUAAGCACCGGCUAACUUCGUGCCAGCAGCCGCGGUAAUACGAAGGGUGCAAGCGUUAACCGGAAUUACUGGGCGUAAAGCGCGCGUAGGUGGUUCAGCAAGUUGGAUGUGAAAUCCCCGGGCUCAACCUGGGAACUGCAUCCAAAACUACUGAGCUAGAGUACGGUAGAGGGUGGUGGAAUUUCCUGUGUAG
rnacentral:rRNA from 1 species